rnacentral:rRNA from 1 species
UACGGAGGGUGCAAGCGUUACUCGGAAUCACUGGGCGUAAAGGAUGCGUAGGCUGGAAAUCAAGUCGAGAGUGAAAUCCAACGGCUCAACCGUUGAACUGCUCUCGAAACUGGUUACCGAGAAUAUGGGAGAGGUAGAUGGAAGUAGUGGUGGAGGGGUAAAAUCCGUAGAUCGCACUAGGAAUACCGAUUGCGAAGGCGAUCUACUGGAACAUUAUUGACGCUGAGGAAUGCAAUCGUGGGGAGCCAACAGUAUUAGAUACCCGUGUAGUCC